UGUAAAUAUACACUCCAGCUGAUAAAUUCAUACUGAAUAUUUGAACAUAUACCCGAUUAUUUUACAGUAAUAUUUUUGUUUACAGAUCCAUUACACAUCUGAAAAUAUACCCAAAAAAUUAUGCCUUUGUUAAAAGUGUGGGAUGCCAGUCGAGUUCAAAAGAAGGCUAUCAUUGUGAAAGAUUUGACAAUUGCAGCUAUUUCAGACAAGGUUCUGGAAAAAAUGAACAUAACCCUAUCAACUCUGGUGCUAGAAGACGAUGGAACUGAAAUAGAUGAUGAAGUUUUGCAGGAGUUUGGAAAUUCUCAUAUUUUUAUGGCACUUGCUGAUGAACAAUAGUGGACACACAAAAUAAUCAAUCGUAAAUCACCAGUUUGUGUUGAAAUUGAAGCUGAUGAGACACCAGAUAAAAACUCUGUUGACGAUACAGAGUCUGAUAAAAGUACACAACCAGACUUUAUACAUGUAGUAUCAAAAACCACAUUACCAAAUAGUCUCCCGCAUCCAGACAAAAUUCAACUACCUACACUGUCGCCAGCACUACACAUUGCCCUCUCAUCUGGAGAGAAGAACUCCAGCAUUUUCAAUCAAGUUCUCAAGGAGUGUGAAAUAUUCUAUUCAGCAACAUACCCAGGCAUGGCUGAUUCGUCCUACUACCAAAUGAUUGGGAAAAAAAUGGUUUCAAAGUACAGUUGUUUGGGGUUUGCAGAUGGCACAAAUACAUGGGUAAGUGUGUGACGUCACUAUUUUUUUUUUCAAGAAUUUUAUACUCACAGAAAAAAGAAAAUAUAUAAUAAUAAUUGCUUUUUGCAUCCAUUCUUCUGUCUGUCAGUCCGAUGCUUUUUCAUCAUCAUUGGCUUCAAAUAUAACUUAUUUAGAUGAACAUAAAGGAAAGCAGAAGAAACUUUUUGAUUUUGGGGUUAGAAGCUUGAAAGUUUAUGGGCACUGUUACUAAGAAAUAAAAGAAAAAAAUGGUUUCUGGGUGUUAUUAGAAUUUACAUUGUUUGAUUGGAUUGAAAUUUAAAAAAAUUUACUGACAACUUAAUUUAUUUUUUAAUUAGCACAUU